CACCCGAGACUCAGUGAAAUUGAACUCGCUGUGAAGAUGCAGUGUACCCGCGGCAAGACGGAAAGACCCCGUGAACCUUUACUAUAGCUUGACACUGAACAUUGAGCCUUGAUGUGUAGGAUAGGUGGGAGGCUUUGAAGUGUGGACGCCAGUCUGCAUGGAGCCGACCUUGAAAUACCACCCUUUAAUGUUUGAUGUUCUAACGUGGGCCCCUUACCGGGGUUGCGGACAGUGUCUGGUGGGUAGUUUGACUGGGGCGGUCUCCUCCUAAAGAGUAACGGAGGAGCACGAAGGUUGGCUAAUCCUGGUCGGACAUCAGGAGGUUAGUGCAAUGGCAUAAGCCAGCUUGACUGCGAGCGUGACGGCGCGAGCAGGUGCGAAAGCAGGUCAUAGUGAUCCGGUGGUUCUGAAUGGAAGGGCCAUCGCUCAACGGAUAAAAGGUACUCCGGGGAUAACAGGCUGAUACCGCCCAAGAGUUCAUAUCGACGGCGGUGUUUGGCACCUCGAUGUCGGCUCAUCACAUCCUGGGGCUGAAGUAGGUCCCAAGGGUAUGGCUGUUCGCCAUUUAAAGUGGUACGCGAGCUGGGUUUAGAACGUCGUGAGACAGUUCGGUCCCUAUCUGCCGUGGGCGCUGGAGAACUGAGGGGGGCUGCUCCUAGUACGAGAGGACCGGAGUGGACGCAUCACUGGUGUUCGGGUUGUCAUGCCAAUGGCACUGCCCGGUAGCUAAAUGCGGAAGAGAUAAGUGCUGAAAGCAUCUAAGCACGAAACUUGCCCCGAGAUGAGUUCUCCCUGACUCCUUGAGAGUCCUGAAGGAACGUUGAAGACGACGACGUUGAUAGGCCGGGUGUGUAAGCGCAGCGAUGCGUUGAGCUAACCGGUACUAAUGAACCGUGAGGCUUAACCUUACAACGCCGAAG
rnacentral:rRNA from 1 species